UACGGAGGGUGCAAGCGUUAUCCGGAUUCACUGGGUUUAAAGGGUGCGUAGGAGGGCAGGUAAGUCAGUGGUGAAAUCUCCGAGCUUAACUUGGAAACUGCCGUUGAUACUAUCUGCCUUGAAUAUUGUGGAGGUGAGCGGAAUAUGUCAUGUAGCGGUGAAAUACUUAGAUAUGACAUAGAACACCAAUUGCGAAGGCAGCUCGCUACACAUAUAUUGACUCUGAGGCACGAAAGCGUGGGGAUCAAACAGG
rnacentral:rRNA from 1 species